AAUACAAAUGAUUAUUACAAAGACAGGUCAUAUGGUCAUUACUGUGUUGCUGUGUAAUCACUAGAAUGGAGUAUUCUGUUAGGUAAUGAAGUUAAAUAGUAACAAAGUUUGAUUGGGUCACAGGUUGACAUUUAUGAGAUACAAUAAUGAGAUACAGUUAUGAGAUAAAAUUUAUGAGAUACAGUUAUUCAGUAUUUAUUUAGUUGUGGGUGAGUAAGUGAUUUUUGAGAAGAGACUUGAAUUUAUAAACAGUGUUUCUUUUAUAUUCACAGGUAAUGAAUUCCAGAUUUUAGUGCCUUUUAUGUGCAUUGAGUUUUUGCAUAGUGUGAGAUGGACACGAGGAACAUCAAAGAGUGAUCUGUGCCUUGUGUUAUGGUCAUGUGUUCUGUUGAGGUUGGUAAGGAGAUGUUUGAGGUGAGGGUUUAUGUCAGAGUUAAGUGUUCUAUGUAUGUAGUAGGUGCAGUAAUAAGUAUGGAUGUUUUGUAUGGUGAGUAGGUUUAGAGCUAUGAAUAUUGGUGGAGUGUGUUGUCUGUAGUGGGAAUUUGUUAUCAUUCUGACUGCAGCCUUUUGUUGGGUGAUUAGUGGUCUGAGAUGGUUUAUUGUUGUUGAGCCCCAUGCACAAAUUCCAUAGGUGAGAUAGGGGUAAAUAAGUGAGUGAUAUAGGGCCAGGAGGGCUGACUGUGGAACAUAGUACCGUAUCUUCGAUAGUAUGCCUACGGUCUUGGAAUAUUUUUUGGAAAUUUGUUGCAUAUGUGUUUGAAAUUUGAGUCUAUUAUCAAGGUGGAUUCCUAGGAAUUUUCCCUCUGUGAGGGAAUUUCCUUGUGAGUUUAGCGCUUAGUUAUGAUUAUAAUAAUUAUAUAAAUUAAUUUAAUUCAUACAACCCAGAACUUGUAUUUAUAUAACAAUAUUACUGUUCAUGACUCUUAAUUCAAUUAUACAUCGCUCAUCCAUGGACGUGCUUCUCGGCAUUUUCAAAAUCAAUUGGAUGGUUAAAAUAUCUCACAUAAACAGAGCAUUAGAUCUUGUCCAACUCUAAUUUUAUAUUUAUUUUGUAAUCUUAGUUCAAGACUUUUUCCAGUCUGACCAUAAUGACCUUUAUUGCAGAGUUUAUAAGUGGCAUAAGUAGCAAUAUUUUAACAUAAUUUUUUAUUCACUUAGAAAAAUAAUUAAUAUUACAAUUUACUGGAUGUCUUUGAUAUUUUUCUAGACGUGUACCUUUACAAUUAAGUUUAUUUUCAUCAGUGCGGCUAACGCCGCUUCCUUCAAGGAUGAUACCUUGAUGCUUGAAUAAAUGGUUUAGUAAACCCACAAGUUAAUAAAUAAAAUUGUGCUACACUUGGUAAUAAAAAUUCCCAAUUGCCUUAUUUACUACCUUGAUGCUGGUGAAGGACUCUUGAUCCAUGGUAUUUGAGCUCUCCCAUUCCUCGGAUCAAAUAUGAUUACUCCCACAUAACUCCCAACCCUUGCUGGUUGAUAACUUCUCCAUAACUAGAAUUGUACUGUUUUAAACUCAAGUUAUUAUACCGUCCUGUCUCCUGGGCAUCUCAUGGAGAGGUGCUCAGUUCUACUCUGAGAAUUGUCAGGUUCCAAUUUAAGUUUGCCAUAUUUUAUUGGACUGUCCUGUCUACCAACGAGCACGCAGAAUUUACCUCCGACUUCAUCACCGCUCUAACAUCCUUACUUUAUCUUCCCUCCUCGCCGACGGCCCCACCUUUGACACAGACUCCCUCUUUGACUUUUUGACAGCAACAGAUUUAUUACACCACUUCUGAUUAAACUUACUUUAGCACUCUUCACCGCCCUUUCUGACUUUACCUCUGUUCUAUUCUUUGCCCCUCGCUGAUCUCUGAUCACGCAUAUUGCACCUUCUAGCAUACCCUACCUUGCAUUGUCGUAUGACCCUUACGGGUUUAGCGCUUGGUUGUGAUUAUGAUAAUUUAAACUCAAGAUUAUAUAAAUUUACGACAACUGCCCUGCACCGUGGUGUGCGUGUUGUGUGUUAAUGGUUCUGAAGACUGUCAUCCCCAAGGUCCGGCCUCAGCCCCAGGUUUAAGAGCUAUUAAGUAGCUCCUUGGAAGGUAAAUGUGUGUUUAUUCUGAAUGUAAGUAGAUGUUUGUGAGAGUUAUCUAUUAAUUUAUGUGUAUAUAAGACAGAAAAGAUCAGUAAUCCUGUCACUGCAAAAUAAUUAACAGGUUUGUUUUUUCACACUCAUUUGACAAGACGUUGGUACCUCCUUGGAUGGUUGCUGUGUACCAACCUACUACCUGAGGCUAAGGACAACACCAUGAACAGCAAGAACCAGGCUUUGACUCUAGCAGACACACAAGCCAACAUCCUGGAGCUGGAAGUGCUCAAGCCGCCCGAGACCAAUGGGCAGCCGGCGUGGAUCAAGAACACCGGUAUUGCAGGUGACUUGUGGUUGUACGUGCAUUAAAGAUGUGCAGUUCAUUCGGAUGGGUGUGCCUUGAUGCUAACGAAGGGCUCUUGAUCUGACGUUUUGGAGAUACCCCUUUCCUUCCACGGAUCAAACUUGAACACAGUCAAAUAAGAGACGUGGACUUCUUGUACUUGGAUGCCGCCUCCGUCACCUGUAGCGUGGAGAACCAGAAACAUGGAGGUGGUUUGGUAUCCGGGUGGAGGCCAAGCGUGGAGAGAACAAGAACGGAGAGGCUAAGAAUGGAACCAGGACAAAUACAGCAGAGGAAGAAACAUGUCUACCCCCUCGGCUUGUAUGGCCUAAGAAAUUACGGUUACGAGGGGAACGCUCUUUCACUGGAUCACUCUUCUUGUCUGGAGAGCUGCAGCUGUAGUGCCAAGUUUCUGGACAGGUCCAGAGAAGUAGCACACAUGGUCGAGUCCGGGGACUCCAUUGGCUCUCAUCCAGCCACCUGCAACACCACCACUCACGGCGAUCCUCGGUGAUAUCCACACGUCUAGUGGAUCAAAAAGUGACUUGGUCAUGCCCAUGUACCUAGGCCCGCUGCCUUCGCUACUCAGGAAAUAUCAGCAACGUCCCUUCCAAACAUUGUCCCCAUCAGUGCUCAGUCCUCCGUGUGCCUUCAAGCUGUUGGGGUGAUCAAAUUCACUAUGCAGCUUUAAAACCACAUGCAAGGUUGGGCACUGAUAUGGGGAGGGUGUCUGGAAAGAGCGUUGUCGAUACUUCAUAGCUGGGUGAGGAAGGCGGUGGGUCCAGGGUAGUCUGGACGUGGCCAGGUGCAGACAGGUAUGGUGAGAAGUGUUUGCAAAGUCAUUAUUCUGACUACCUAACACCCAGUGUUGAGCUGUAUCGUCAUGAUAAAGCUCAGCACUGAGUGAUAAGGAAGUCAGAACACAGGCUAAUGAAAGCAAACUGCCAGUGUGCAGCUGUAGUGUCGGCUACGUGGCUGUCAUGAAUG